rnacentral:ncRNA from 1 species
UAAACAAUUUGCCCAUGAGUUCUUGAAUUGAAAUUAAAAAGAACCAACACAAACCAGAAACAUAAACCGGUUAGCAAUCAUAAUUGAAAUCUUACCUGCUUACCUUAAAUGGAUUGGGCGGAUUACUCAGAACCGGCUGAGCUUGGGGAGGUGUCUGAACCGAGAUCACAUGUGGAGAUGGUUAGGCUGGUUUGGUCCUGGCCGAGUGAUCUGAAUUGGAGGGAACCGGCUUGGUCUUGAACCUCUAUUGGACCGGCUGGAUCUUGAAUCUUCAAUUGGACCAUCUCUUCAAUCAGCAGCUCUUCAUCUUGAUCAAGGAUUUGUUGGACAGCUUUAGAGAAUCCAAGUCUUAUGGCCUUAGCUCCACUCCGGGUAGUUGGACCACUAGUAACUAUGGGAACCUCUACUUGGAUGGCCGCAUCAUUCCCUCCCCCUUGAAAAGGUUCUGGCCUCAGAACACCAUCAUCUGCAAGGAAAGGGGACAAGUCAGAUACAUUGAACACAGGGGAAAUCUUAAACUCACCUGGAAGCUCAAGCUUGUAAGCAUUGUCAUUGAUCUUCUCAAGGACCCGGAACAGCCCAGUGCCUCGUGGUGACAGUUUGGACUUCCUUUCUUCUGGAAAACGCUCUGGCCUCAUGUGUAGCCACACUAAGUCGCCUGGUUCAAACAACACCUCCUUUCUCUUCUGGUCGAGACGGGCUUUAACCUUGGCCGCCUUUGCCUCUAACUUCUCUCGAACCCUCCGAUGCAUGUUCUUAACGAACUCGGCCUUAGUUGCACCUUCUCGGCUGCGGAACAUAGACUUUGGCAGUUCGGAUAUGUCUAAAGGCGUCUCAGGCUGAAAACCAUAAACAACUUCAAAAGGAGAAAGUUCAGUGGCAGAGUGUCUAGCAUGGUUAUAAGCGAACUCAAUAAACGGUAAACAAGAUAACCAGUUCCUCAAGUUCUUACCGACCGUAGCUCUCAACAACUGAGAGAGUGUACGGUUUACUACCUCAGUUU